rnacentral:other from 1 species
AAAAUUCUGGAAUAUGCGUUAAGCUCCUAUUUUGAACCUACAUAUUUGCUAAGGGAGUUCGAUAUUUAGAUAUGGAAAUGUACCAUCAUGUGAGUCCCAUAGUCGGCAUUGAAGGCGAUUGAAAUAUCUGUGAGGACACCCACCUGUCGAGAGAUAGGGAUCAAAAUUGGAGUACCGGUAUUUUGGAUAUUGA